UCCUGACUGACCGAUAGUGAACCAGUACCGUGAGGGAAAGGCGAAAAGAACCCCGGCGAGGGGAGUGAAAAAGAACCUGAAACCGUGUACGUACAAGCAGUGGGAGCACGCUUAGGCGUGUGACUGCGUACCUUUUGUAUAAUGGGUCAGCGACUUAUAUUCUGUAGCAAGGUUAACCGAAUAGGGGAGCCGAAGGGAAACCGAGUCUUAACUGGGCGUUAAGUUGCAGGGUAUAGACCCGAAACCCGGUGAUCUAGCCAUGGGCAGGUUGAAGGUUGGGUAACACUAACUGGAGGACCGAACCGACUAAUGUUGAAAAAUUAGCGGAUGACUUGUGGCUGGGGGUGAAAGGCCAAUCAAACCGGGAGAUAGCUGGUUCUCCCCGAAAGCUAUUUAGGUAGCGCCUCGUGAAUUCAUCUCCGGGGGUAGAGCACUGUUUCGGCAAGGGGGUCAUCCCGACUUACCAACCCGAUGCAAACUGCGAAUACCGGAGAAUGUUAUCACGGGAGACACACGGCGGGUGCUAACGUCCGUCGUGAAGAGGGAAACAACCCAGACCGCCAGCUAAGGUCCCAAAGUCAUGGUUAAGUGGGAAACGAUGUGGGAAGGCCCAGACAGCCAGGAUGUUGGCUUAGAAGCAGCCAUCAUUUAAAGAAAGCGUAAUAGCUCACUGGUCGAGUCGGCCUGCGCGGAAGAUGUAACGGGGCUAAACCAUGCACCGAAGCUGCGGCAGCGAUGCUUAUGCGUUGUUGGGUAGGGGAGCGUUCUGUAAGCCUGCGAAGGUGUGCUGUGAGGCAUGCUGGAGGUAUCAGAAGUGCGAAUGCUGACAUAAGUAACGAUAAAGCGGGUGAAAAGCCCGCUCGCCGGAAGACCAAGGGUUCCUGUCCAACGUUAAUCGGGGCAGGGUGAGUCGACCCCUAAGGCGAGGCCGAAAGGCGUAGUCGAUGGGAAACAGGUUAAUAUUCCUGUACUUGGUGUUACUGCGAAGGGGGGACGGAGAAGGCUAUGUUGGCCGGGCGACGGUUGUCCCGGUUUAAGCGUGUAGGCUGGUUUUCCAGGCAAAUCCGGAAAAUCAAGGCUGAGGCGUGAUGACGAGGCACUACGGUGCUGAAGCAACAAAUGCCCUGCUUCCAGGAAAAGCCUCUAAGCAUCAGGUAACAUCAAAUCGUACCCCAAACCGACACAGGUGGUCAGGUAGAGAAUACCAAGGCGCUUGAGAGAACUCGGGUGAAGGAACUAGGCAAAAUGGUGCCGUAACUUCGGGAGAAGGCACGC
rnacentral:rRNA from 1 species